rnacentral:rRNA from 1 species
GACGAACGCUGGCGGCGUGCUUAACACAUGCAAGUCGAACGGAAAGGCUCCAGCUUGCUGGAGUACUCGAGUGGCGAACGGGUGAGUAACACGUGGGUAAUCUGCCCUGCACUCUGGGAUAAGCCUGGGAAACUGGGUCUAAUACUGGAUAUGACCUUUCUCCUUAUGGGGUUUGGUGGAAAGUUUUUCGGUGUAGGAUGAGCCCGCGGCCUAUCAGCUUGUUGGUUGGGUGAUGGCCUACCAAGGCGACGACGGGUAGCCGGCCUGAGAGGGUGAUCGGCCACAUUGGGACUGAGAUACGGCCCAGACUCCUACGGGAGGCAGCAGUGGGGAAUAUUGCACAAUGGGCGGAAGCCUGAUGCAGCGACGCCGCGUGAGGGAUGACGGCCUUCGGGUUGUAAACCUCUUUCAGCAGGGACGAAGCGUAAGUGACGGUACCUGCAGAAGAAGCACCGGCUAACUAUGUG